rnacentral:tRNA from 1 species
UCGUGGCUCAGAUGGUAAAGAAUCUGCCUGUAAUGCAGAAGACCCAGGUUCAAUCCCUGGGUCAGGAA